rnacentral:rRNA from 1 species
CCUACGGGAGGCAGCAGUCGGGAAUUUUGCGCAAUGGACGAAAGUCUGACGCAGCAACGCCGCGUGAGGGAUGACGGCCUUCGGGUUGUAAACCUCUUUUGUCAGGGACGAUAAUGACGGUACCUGGCGAAUAAGCCACGGCUAACUACGUGCCAGCAGCCGCGGUAA